CUCAGUAACGGCGAGUGAAGCGGCAACAGCUCAAAUUUGAAAUCUGGCGUCCGCCCGAGUUGUAAUUUGCAGAGGAUGCUUCGGGGCAGCGGCCGAUCUAAGUCCUUUGGAACAGGGCGUCACAGAGGGUGAGAAUCCCGUAUGUGAUCGGCUGGCACCCCACACGUAGCUCCUUCGACGAGUCGAGUUGUUUGGGAAUGCAGCUCUAAAUGGGAGGUAAAUUUCUUCUAAAGCUAAAUACCGGCCAGAGACCGAUAGCGCACAAGUAGAGUGAUCGAAAGAUGAAAAGCACUUUGGAAAGAGAGUCAAACAGCACGUGAAAUUGUUGAAAGGGAAGCGCAUGCAACCAGACUUGUCGGCGGUGUUCCCCCGGUCUUCUGACCGGGUCACUCGCCGCCGGCAGGCCAGCAUCGUUUGCGACCGCCGGAGAAAGGCGCAGGGAAUGUGGCUCCUCGGAGUGUUAUAGCCCUGCGCACAAUACGGUGCGUCGCGAGCGAGGUCCGCGCUUCGGCUAGGAUGCUGGCGUAAUGGUCGUAUGCGGCCCGUCUUGAAACACGGACCAAGGAGUCUACCAUCUAUGCGAGUGUUCGGGUGUCAAACCCCUACGCGCAAUGAAAGUGAACGGAGGUGGGAACGCAAGUGCACCAUCGACCGAUCCUGAUGUCUUCGGAUGGAUUUGAGUAAGAGCAUAGCUGGUGGGACCCGAAAGAUGGUGAUCUUUACUUGAAUAGGGUGAAGCCAGAGGAAACUCUGGUGGAGGCUCGCAGCGGUUCUGACGUGCAAAUCGAUCGUCAAAUUUGGGUAAAGGGGCGAAAGAC
rnacentral:rRNA from 1 species